AUUGAACGCUGGCGGCAUGCUUUACACAUGCAAGUCGAGCGGCAGCGCGGGGGCAACCCUGGCGGCGAGCGGCGAACGGGUGAGUAAUGCAUCGGAACGUACCCUGGAGUGGGGGAUAACGCCGCGAAAGCGGCGCUAAUACCGCAUAUGCUCUGAGGAGGAAAGUGGGGGACCGCAAGGCCUCACGCUCUGGGAGCGGCCGAUGUCCGAUUAGCUAGUUGGUGGGGUAAAGGCUUACCAAGGCGACGAUCGGUAGCUGGUCUGAGAGGAUGAUCAGCCACACUGGGACUGGGACACGGCCCACGACUCCUACGGGAGGCAGCAGUGGGGAAGUUUUGGUACGAAUGGGGGCGAACCCUCGAUCCGGCCAUGCCGCGUGAGUGAAGAAGGCCUCGGUUGGUAAG
rnacentral:rRNA from 1 species